GUGAGGAAUAUUGCGCAAUGGAGGCAACUCUGACGCAGCCAUGCCGCGUGCAGGAAGAAGGCGCUACGCGUUGUAAACUGCUUUUAACCGGGAAGAAACCCCAGGACGUGUCCUGGGUUGACGGUACCGGAGGAAUAAGCACCGGCUAACUUCGUGCCAGCAGCCGCGGUAAUACGAAGGGUGCAAGCGUUAUCCGGAUUCAUUGGGUUUAAAGGGUGCGUAGGAGGAGCGUUAAGUCAGUGGUGAAAUCCUGCAGCUUAACUGUAGACUUGCCAUUGAUACUGGCGCUCUUGAGUGCGCUUGAAGUGGGCGGAAUGUGCCGUGUAGCGGUGAAAUGCUUAGAUAUGGCACAGAACACCAAUUGCGAAGGCAGCUCACUAAGGCGAUACUGACGCUGAGGCACGAAAGCGUGGGGAUCGAACAGGAUUAGAAACCCCGGUAGUCC
rnacentral:rRNA from 1 species